GAGAUUUAAUUUAUAGUAAAUUUUAUUGUUAAAUAAUUAUUUAUAACUAUAAGUUAGAAAUGAAACGUUAGUCGUUUUUAAAUAUAUCUAGUUUUAAAAGAAAAUAGUUUAAUUAGUUUUUUUUUUUUAAAAAAUUAAAUUUUUAAUUUUUUUUAAGGAAAAGGUUAAUUUUUUUGGGGAWAAGCUUAGAAAAUUUUUUUUUAWWAAAAAAAAUUAUAUAAAUAAUUUUUAGAAUUAGAAUUUUUUAUAAUUAAUAGUAUGUUAUAUUUAAUUAUUUGAAGUAUAAUAUUUAUAUUUUUUUUUAAAUUUUUUAUUUUAAAAUAUUUUUUAAUAUAAUAAAAAUAGAUAUAAUGAUUAAAUUAGUAUAUAAAUUUUUAGUAUUAAAUUUAAAUUUUAGGUUAAUUUAAGGAAUUCGGCAAAUAGUUUUUCUCACCUGUUUAUUAAAAACAUGUCUUUUUGAUAAUAAUUUAAAGUCUAAUCUGCCCACUGUAAUUAUAAAUGGCCGCAGUAUAUUGACUGUGCAAAGGUAGCAUAAUAAAUAGUUUAUUAAUUGUAAGCUAGUAUGAAUGAUUGAAUGAAGAAAAUUCUGUCUCGAAUUAAUUUAAAUAGAAUUUUAUUUUUAAGUUAAAAAGCUUAAAUAAUUUUUAUAGACGAGAAGACCCUAUAGAGUUUAAUAUUAAUUAUAGAUUUACUUUUAGAUUAAAUAUAUAAAUUUAAUAAUAAAUAUUUA
rnacentral:rRNA from 1 species